rnacentral:rRNA from 1 species
UCGCAGAUCAGCAUGCUGCGGUGAAUACGUUCCCGGGCCUUGUACACACCGCCCGUCACACCAUGAGAGUCGAUAACACCCGAAGCCUGUAGUCUAACCAUAAGGGGGACGCAGUCGAAGGUGGGAUUGAUAAUUAGGGUGAAGUCGUAACAAGGUAUC